UUUCUUUCUGAUGAAACAUAGAAUCAUUAAGGUUUGGAAAAGACCAUUCAGUCCAACUGUCAAUGGAAUCUGGCAGUGAGAGGAAAGGAAGCCCUACAGACUUUCAUUCUUUGCUUGUUUGGUUCCAAAUAGGACUAGGAUGUCCUCAACGACAAAAACGGACAACUGGAAGCUGUCGCUCUUGGCCGUAGAGAGGGACUCCAUUGAAAUAGCACCUAUUUUCCAUUCUGAGACAUUCUUCUGCUUUCAAGGUACUUCUGGCUGCUGUUAUCUCCACAUCUUGUGAAUUGCCUUGGCUGGGGAAGUCCAGCUGUUUCUAGUUUGCACAGGAAGGGAGCAUAAUACACAGAUUCAGCAGGCUUAAUAUUUUACCUCCCGGCGUAAUUGUUAGACUGAAGCAUCUUGUCAUGAGUUGAAAGAUGGUAGAGUACCUUUCUCUGUUAACUGUAUAGAUUUACUUGUGCACAAAUGUCUUCUGUACAUUCACGUACUGCAUUUAUCCAGUGCCUUCUUGGGCCCGUAAGCUGCUUUUAUUCCCCGAGGGCAGCACGCAUGUGCUUCUCAAAUAACACAAAACUGAAGGCUAUUGUAUAGAGGCUCGUGGAAAGGAAAGCUGAUCUUUAACCUAUGCAUUCCCAAGUUAUGUAGCAAAAUAUAGACUGAAACUCUUGAACGGUUACACUUUUAAGCUUAUUUACUUAACAUUCAUGCACUUUGACUCUAUCUUUUGUUUGUAAAUUAAAUCUGAUUUCCCCGUGUUCUACAAUAGCUCUCAGUUUUAUUUUUCCUGGCAGAAAAUCUUUUUCCGUCUGUCCUUCAGUUAGUCAAAGGUAGGAGUCUCUCCCUGAGAGAGAGAUUAGUUUGUCUCAUUGGAAUUUUGUACUGCAGGAUGACAGUCUUCCCUGGCACACAGUAAGCUCACCACAAUCCGCAGUAUACAUGAAAUCAUAAUCAAAGACAGAUGCCUUUCCCUGUUAUAAAUAAUCAUUGCUGCUUGCAUAGACCAGAAAAGAUCCUUGUUUAGACUGCUCUUUCUUUCUUGGAGCUCUGUAUUUCCCUUGGCCUUCCCUUUUUUUCAUCUUUUCUGUCUCUAAUUCUAGAUAUUUGCCUAAGGAAAUAAAAGGAAUGGGGAAAGUAGAUCUUGGCACUCUCUUAAUUCUCAGAGGAUUACCCUAUGGAGUGAAAUUAAAUACACAUGACAUAUAAAAGGGAAUGGCCUCCUAAUUUAUAGCAAAAAUCCCAGUUCACAAUAAAUCCGUUCUUUCCUGUUUGUUCGUGUGUAUGAUGAGAACAUGUCAUAUGCUUCUGAGAUGCUGUUAUAAAAGCUUUGUUCUGUUGUAGGAUUAACUUUUCUGAAUAGGUGAAUGGUUUUAUGUAAAUAUCAAAUAGCAAUCGUGGAUGUUUUUAAAUUGGUUAUCAAAUUUACUUGCAUUUCAGCAAAGCCCAGUUCAGUGUCGUCUAUUUUAGCAGCUUCUUAUAAAUUACAAAUUGUCCUCAGGUAGUUGUGAGAUAUCUGAGAUGUCGGGACUCCAGCAGGAAAGCUUCUUGGAUGAUAUUUUCACAUGACUUGUAGAAAAAUUCUGCCUGAAGUAGAUGCUACUAAGAACUUCUAACCUUGAUGUCUGGCCUUGUAGGAAAGGCACAAAUCAACCUAUUUGCAGAGUGAUUCUGUUUCAUGUCAAUAUAGGAUAAUUGUAAACAGAAACCCAAGCAGCGGUGAUUUCAUCCUGUUACACAACCAGGAGGCCUGGCCUAACAUCGCUCCUCAAGUAGCCAGCUUGUCUGUAUAGGAACUGUAAGUGAAGAAAAUCAUUCACCAUUUGUGCGUAGGAAUGCAAUAAGGACACUGUAAAUAAAAGCUCAUUGCAAAAAUAACCAGUUAUAAGGUAUCAGAACAUUCCAUUCUCAAACAUGAGCUGUUAGCGUUUAGUAAGUGCUGUAUACAUCAUAGCUAGGAUGUCUAGGACUGUGUAAACCUAUGUAAGGAUUUGUCUACAUCGCAAAGUCUGUUUGAAGAAAGAAGUUUUGGAGGCAAGCAAGAGUCAAUAGAUCAAAGUAAGAUGGGUGGUUGACAAUGCAGAGGGAGACCUACAGCUCUAUUUUCUGAGGUUGUGUGCAGGUAUGGAUGCAGGUGUGGCUAAGUGGGAAUGGCCAGGAGCAGGGACAGAGGCAGGCAGAGCAGGUUGGCGAGGAACAAAGAUGAAAGGCAGAAGCAAAAUGGCUGAAAGCUAGCUUUCUCGGGGAAUGUACUCUGUCUAGCACACUGAAUUUCAGGUCAUCUCUGUCUUACUUUCUGAAAGCCUUGAAAGGAGAGAUAGCUGCUUCAGGUAUUAACAUGGCCUUCCUUAGUUGUUCCUUCUCUUGGCAGUUUUCUGUGGAGCUGCCAGGAAAGCAAAACCCUCUCCUUUUAAUCUUUGAAAGCAUCAUCAGGAAGUUAAGGAGCAGGGAUUAGUUUUGUUAAUAAGUGCAUACAAGGGAACUCCUCUGGGAGCUUUCUAAUUUUCUGUUUUCUUUAAUAGAUGAUGCAUUUUUGUCUUCCUCCUGUGAUACAGUUGGGGUUUGCCUGGUCCUUUUUCUUGUUGUGGAAGAGUGGGGGGAAGAAAAAUAACCCAGUCAGUCUGUUCUUUCUGCUUCUGAAAGAUGUCUUUUCAAGACUUCAGCUGUAGCAAUUUUGUGCUUUCCAAGGGCAUUACUAAGACAUUUAGCACAUCCCCCAAGGAACUGUGGUCAGUGCUAUUGGAUUCCUCCAGGGAAUAGCAGCAGGGAUUGUAACUCUGUCAGAUUAAUGUGGGCUAAGGUCACCAUCCCUUGGGCUAGCUGGCUGGUAUGCCUUGGAGAAAGGAGCAAGGCUCUAUAGGUAAACAAAAAUCCCUGCGUGAUAGUGAGCUGACAUUCACACAUACUAAGAAUCCUUAUUUCAAGUUGCUGAAGGCUGUGUGAGCGUGCAUCUCAACAUAUCUUUGUCCAAUCUCAGCCAGUGCGUUGCAAAGCAAGCAGGCACUUGAGCAGGUCUGGAAUUUCCACCUGGGGAGGGAGACACUGCACACAGCCCAUCAGACAGCACGUCGGCCUCUGUCAAAACCAGGCAAAUGGGUUCAGGCUGAGCAGUGAUUUCGUGCUGGCUGCAGUCGCCAGUUACUCUGACCCCAUUCAUAAAACAGUAGUCAAAGCAAUAUGCUUUUUCAAGAGCUUGAAACAAAUUAGGUGCAUGGAUCUAAAAUAACGCAUGUCCAUGGUAGCUACAUGUUGCUUGCUUUGAGCGUAUGAUAUUUAGACCUUGGAAGACUCCAUCUGUGCAAACAUUAUAACUGAAAUAAUUUGAUGAGUGGUGGAAGAGAAAUCAGUUAUUUCAUUAAUUAUUUGGUUGCACAGAUGGACCUGUAAUCCCUGGCCAGAUGCAGUCAGACAUAUUUACACAAGCAGCAAAGUAGAUCUUUAGAUAUCCAGUUACAGGCCUCUGCAAUAAAGUUAUUAUUGCCAAGACCCCAUUUUGGAGACCUUUUUUCCUUUUUUCCUCCCUUCUUCUCCUCUUAUGUCUCAGCUUUUUCCUUCUCAGUUCAGUAACAGAAUCCCUUCAGCAGACACCCUGUGCAUCGCUUUGAUAAAAGCAUUUAGAAAGAUCAAAGAGAGAGAGCAACUCAGCUGGUGGCCUUUCCCUUCAGAGCGGUGGGUUCAGGCCAUGUCUAUACUACAGAUAUUGUUGGAUAGAGCAAUGUCAAGACAGUUUUGUUACGAAGUUUGGUCCCUGUUAGGCAGAUCUGUGCUAGAAGAAGCCCUGGGAGCAGAUGUGGGUUUUUUUAUGUGUCUGCUGCAUGUGCAGUGCAGCACAUCCACCUGCCUGCAGUGCCGUUGCCGACGCAAUCUCCAUGCAUGCUCAGAAGUUGUUGCCAAAGUAUCUGUGCUGCACAGGAGGCAAAGCAACUGGGCCGGGAAUUAAUAUAGGUCUAUUGGCAAAAACUGUGGAGGAACAAUGUGCUAAAAUACUGCUCUGGUGUUAGACUAUCUUUUGUUUUAGCAAUUAGUUCAGCCUAUACUGGCACGGAGGCUCAUGCUGAUGCAAGUUGUUUUGGUUUUUUGUUUUUUUUUCAGCUGGAAUGCGUUUAUGGUCUAUAGCUUAAUUGUAUCUCAUUUGAUGGAAGAACUGGAUGGAAAAGCAAGGCAUUAGUGUCUUCCAAUUAGUUGGGAUUUUAGACAAUAGAACAUUGAUUCCAUGCUAACUUUCAUGUUUAUUACUGACUUCACUGCUGUGAAAUCAGGUAAGUGCUCUUUAAGCACAGGGUUUGUUGGUUUUAAUAAGAGCACUUACCUUCAAUAGCAAGUGUCUAUGAGCACUAUUACCUAAUACCCACGUCUCUCCCAAUGAAUCUGGAGUUUAUUCCCUUCCUAACCAGCCCUGGACAUUUUGGCUUUUAUUUAUGAGGUUUUUUCUUAUGUUGACAGUGUUUGUAGAUUUUACAGAGCGUCCAGUAAAGGAUGUUUUUAUUAUGAACUCUUUUUGAAAGCAGGAAAAUGGAGGCUUUUCUGUUUCCCACUGUUGUGUUCUUAAAUCAGAAUAAGCAGAAAGUUGGACUUGUAAAUCAUACAAGUGGAUCUACGAUAACAAAGGAGUUGUAGUUCUCUGCUGUAAAGGAUAUACUCUGGCAAGAUGUACAGCAGGUAACUCUUAUAAUGUGAAAAAUGUAGACAACCGGAAUUAACUGCGACCCAAUGUAGCCUGGAACCAUAGCUGUAAUUUAUAAUAUGGUCAAGAAUGCAUUGCAGGCUCCUCAAUCGAUUAGCUAACGAGAAAAAGCUCUGCAAUUAAUUACAAAUCAACUGGAUCAAUAUCCUGUAAGUGAAAGAUAUGAAAUUGCUAACGUUUGGAUGAAACAUUUUUUUUUUUGCCAAGUGUAUUUAUAAAACUUGUAUAAAAUAUGAUAUUUAUUUAAAAAAAAAAAAAGCUCCUUUGACUGUUCAAAGGCAGCACCAUGAAUGCUGAUUUCCUUUUGCUCUGAAUAGUCAACUGAACUGACUUUAUUUCACCAGGUUUUCAUUUGUGUGUAAAAGAACUGAAGGCAACUUAUACCUUUAAUUUGAGACCUUACAAUGAAGCAAAAAAGCUAUAAUAUGGGGCUCUCGCAGUGAUGCUACCCAUGAGUUAAUCAUCAAAACACCUGAAAUACUGAGAGUUUGUGACCAAAUGAUUCUCUCAGUAGAUGGCAGGACUUGAAAUUUUCUAAUCAGUGAUGCUGGCAGUCUAACAUCUUGUCACUUUUAUAGAAGGCAUCCCAAAAAGGGCAGCUGGGGAGUGGGGAGGCAAGCUAAUGCUUGUGUUUGAAAGUAGUUUGUCAUCUGCAUGGUUCUCCAACUUCAAACAACUCUCUGUGCUUUUAUAAAUUGCAAAAAUGGAAGUGCUACUUAUCUGGAAUCCUUUUCAUCUGGCAGUGAUGAUUUCUUUUCAUAUCCGUGUUAUAACACUUCUGUUUUUUAUUAAGAAGACAGAAGACAAUCAUUUCCAAGGAGGAAAUAAUAAUAUUAAACAUGUGAAUCUCUCAUUUUCUGUAAGAUAAUCUUGUUUUAUGAACUUCCUACAUAAUUUUACUUUUUUUUAUAUACACACAAUGAAAAUCUGAGGAUUUCAUUGUAAUUAUAUUCAACAGUAAUGAGAGUUUAACUGAACGGUAAGUCUUCUUGAACUGUAAAGCGUUCUGUGAUAUUUGGAUAAUUCCAACAAAAUUUUGCUGCCCUAACCAGGUUGUGUGAAGCUUGGUUGCAUUAAAAAUGUACCAGUCCUGAUCACUGUUGCAAAGAGGAGCAAUUUUUUUCAAUGCACAAACAAGGAAAGGAACCCUGCCCACACAGUGUUCCUGGUUUCACCAUGGAAAUUCAAACCAUAAUAGCCAUGGGAGUUUCUGAGAUAUGAAGAGCUUUCUGUGAACAGCGUCCCUUUGUUUUCUUCAUCUCUCAGGGAAGACUGAGUCUGUGCUUUUUAAGUCAGUGAAGGGAAAUAUUAAAAUCUGGAGAGAGAAUCUGGGAAGGGAUGGGGAAAGCAGUGAGCACCAACCUGCCAGAAGAGGGUCUUUUCUCUAUGAGAAGCAGAUGUCUGGAGCGACCUUUAGCAGGGGGUGCAGGAGUUAAGGGUGUUCGUGAACUUUGUAGACUUCUGUAUUUUGAUGCUCCAAUUCUUUGUUGCUGACUUAUUAUUAUUGUUUGCUCUGGUGAAAAGGCCUUGGUACCCAUUUUUAUUUUAAAAAUAGUAAUAAAUCAAAGUCUUUUCAUUUAUAUUAGAAUACUAGUGUUCAUCAAGCUGACUGUUUCAAAUAAAUGUUUCUUCUAGCACUUCAGUUGAUCGUUGACUUCAGGGUUAAAACACCAGAAUGGCUGAUAUGAAAAUAUUCUGAGCCUUGAGUUUUUUCUUACAUAUUGGGAAGGAUGCAUAAUGAAAAAUAUAGCAAUGUUACAAAGCAUUGCAUGGCUUUAGAAAGAAAAUGUGUAUGGCUAACAGCUUACAUCAUCUGAAAUGACAAUGAUGAGACUUAGAUUACUAUUAUCAGCUUUAAUUGCAGCUCUGUGCUUUUUUCUGUCUCAAUUCAGUGCAGUUCAGUUUCACACCUGAAGUCAAGCAUUUCAUGCAAAUGUUUGAGGAACAAUGACUUGUAUGACUUGUUUGGUUUCAUGCCUCUUUUGUAGUACAUGUAAGCCUUAAUGUUUAGAAUAUCUGCCUUUUUUUCCCCUUGUUUCCAGAUUGUCAUGGUUAAGGAAGAGUGACCCCGUUUACCCCUGACCCACUUGAGCAGCCUCAUGAGGACAGCAGUAAAGGAAGUUUUCCUGGAGUCUUGGCUGUCCUGUGGGUUUCAUUAGAUUUUCAUGAAGCCUCUUCAAUCUGGUCUGUGGUUUUCUUUUCAAGUAGCAUGUUGCUGAGCUAGGCUAGCUCUGAUGGUGCUGGGAGAGUUAAAUCACCACCAAACUUUCAAGGCUUUAGACGGGAAGCAUGGUUUGACUCCCCAUGAAUGAUGUACUUGGCACAAAAAUCCAGUUUGGUAACAGUUUGCUUGGAGCAAACAUGGAAUCUGUUUCCAGUCCUUUUUAUUCUUUUUUUUUCAGCCUCCACCAACAAAAUAUUUUUUGGUAGAGUAUAUAAUAAAAUGUAGAUAUUUUUGAUGUAUUAUAUAUUAUAGCCAUUAGUUUAAAGGUAGAAGAUAAGAGAACCCUAAUGAAGGUUCAUGAUUCCAUUGAAGAUAACCCCCUUUUUUUUUGCAGUGGUGAAUGUGUGAUGUUGGUUGCAAGUUAUCACAAUGCCAAGAAUUUCCUGGGUCAUUUAACUUCUUCAGUAUAUAUUAUAGGCAGCCAUGAAGUUAUCCUGCCAUUUAUUUUACCUCCACUAGGCAAUUCUGUGCCUCCAGAAUUUUAGUAUGUUUGUCUUGCUUGUUUCAUCUACCUAAAGACACAGCUCUGAUCUUAGUUGCUAUUUUUCACCUUCCGUGACAGUGAGAAACAUUAGUUGGCUUUUACUUGCCUCCUCUGAAAGACAAAUUUACUGUAUAUUGUAUAAUUUUAUUUGUAUAUUAUAUAAUAUACUGCAUAUUGUAUUUAUAAAUAAUAAUGUUUCCUGAACAAGCAAGAAAGUUGAUGAUGUUCUGUUUUAACACAGGUAAUUUUAACACAACACUGAAAGAUAUUAUUGUUAAUUAUUGAAUUAUUUUCUUAGGUUCUUGCCUGUGAAUCUUCUUUUACAGUCAUUACAUGAUGAGUCUAUGGGCAUUGAUUGCUCUGACAAGGUGAGGAUGUGGGAGAAGAAGACAGUCUCAGUAUCAUCACCUUCAUAAGGAGUUUGUAAGUAAUGCAGCACAGAUGAGUUGAGGGAGCUGGGAGAUGGAGAUAUCGCCUUGAAAUAUGGAGGCAGAGGUUAUUUCUUGUCAUACAGUAUGUACUGUUGCUUACUUCAAGAGUUGCUUAGCAGACUCUGCAAAGCCAGUAGUCCUAGAACGAUAUUUGAGAGUGAAUUGCAAUAGCAACAUAAGUAGUAACAGAAAAGGCUUUACCCUGAUUUUACAGGUUGUAUGCAUUUUAUUGUUUUCAGGACUGAGUCAUACUGUAAGGCCUUUUAAUAGCUGAAAGGAUGAAAAAAUAGAAAAACAGAGCAACCUCUUUGGUGUGAUUGUCUCCCAGUGUACAGACAUCUUUGCAUCUAAAUUUCAAAGGAAAUACAGCUUUUCUCUUAAAAGGAAUAAUAUUAAGAAAUAAUAUCUGUAGUUUAUAUGGCCCAUCUUCUGUUGCCCAUUCAUCAUUUCCAGCAAGGGAGAUGACUUUUAUGUUGGCAGAUGACAUUAAGCAACAAGUAACGCUCUGGACAGCAACCAGUCUCCCUCCAAUAAAAGGCAAAGGCAUGCGGUGGGAAGUGUGACAUGUGUGCUGCUGCUUAUAUCCUCUGGGCUUAGUUAAAGUAAGCAACUAGAUAAGAUUUCUUGCUUUGAUUUCCAAGUCUGCUGUUACUUUGUUCCAUCACCUUGGUCAAUUCCGUUCUGUUUACCUAGUUGUAAAAUGUGUUCCAUAAUAUUUAUUUGAUUUACGGUGAUUAAAUCUUCUGUUAUUAGUUUAGGUCCCCUUUGUUCUAGUUAUUGUGUACAUCUAUAAGUAAUCAAAGUCUCUGCUCCAGGGAAGGUAUUACCUUCAUAAAUAAUGGAGGUGGAGGCACCAAGAAAUUCUAGGAUGUGUUAUGGGAAGUUGGGCAGCUGGGAGCACAGCUAAAUAACAUGGCCUUUUUUGCAGGAAGAAGGUCAGGAAGCUUUAGGCAUUGCCCAGUGGUUCAUGAGUAAGUAUUUUACCUGCUUUAAUUAUAGAAGGGAUAACUCUCUUCUUCGACAAUCUGCUAAAAGGACUUUUGGAAAUUCUUGAAAACUUCCAGAAGUUAUCAUAUGAGCCCACUGAAAUCAUAUGUGUUAUUUAUGGGAUCUGUAUGAAGAAAGGCAUAUAAAAUAAAUUUCUGGUAGAGGGAGUCUUUAAAAAAAAAAAAAAGACAUUACAAUACAUCUUUUGUACUCUUUAAAGCAAGAGGCAAUGUGUUACAAAUUAUAACAUGAACUAACUUUGCACUUUCUGGAACUGGCUUUAGCAGCCAUGUAGAUUUAUUUAAAUGCUGUAUCAGGAGUCAAAUACUAUUUCUGAUUCAGCUUUUAAGUUAAAAAUACAGAUGACUUCAUGACUUGUACUCCAGACAGCCCAUAACAAAGCUCAGCAUUGUUGUUUAGUUCUUACCAGGGAGCAGCGUAACGAUGUA
rnacentral:lncRNA from 1 species